UACGGGGGGAGCAAGCGUUGUUCGGAUUUACUGGGCGUAAAGGGCGCGUAGGCGGCCACCGCAAGUCGGUUGUGAAAUCUCCGGGCUUAACCCGGAAAGGUCAAUCGAUACUGCGGGGCUAGAGUGCAGAAGGGGCAACUGGAAUUCUCGGUGUAGCGGUGAAAUGCGUAGAUAUCUGGAGGAAUACCGGUGGCGAAGGCGGCAUCCUGGACCGACAUUGACGCUGAACGGCGAAAGCUAGGGGAGCAAACGGG
rnacentral:rRNA from 1 species